UACAGAGGUCUCAAGCGUUGUUCGGAUUCAUUGGGCGUAAAGGGUGCGUAGGCGGCGAGGCAAGUCUGGUGUGAAAACCUGAGGCUCAACCUCAGGCCUGCAGUCGAUACGGGCGGACUUGAGUACUGCAGGGGAGACUGGAAUUCCUGGUGUAGCGGUGAAAUGCGUAGAUAUCGGGAGGAACACCUGUGGCGAAAGCGGCGCACUGGACCACAACUGACGCUGAGGCGCGAAAGCUAGGGGAGCAAACAGG
rnacentral:rRNA from 1 species